CUUUAGCCAAUGGUAAAGAUAAUCAAAAACAUAUCUGCACAAAAGCUAAAAUGAUUGCAAGUUCAUAAAAUUUCCCCCAUCAAAUAUUGAUGGUUUUGCACUGUUUAAGAACUUUAUGCUUUUGUUUUAUUUAUUCAAAACUCGAAAUCGAAUGAGAUUUGUGUGAGGAAUAUGUUACAGAGAUGAGGGAAAUAAGCAAUUUGUUGGUUUCUUCAUUGCUUAUCACGGUAAUACCAACAUGGGCAUCACACUUCAGAGGAGCAAUUAUAACAUGGAAACCAGGGCACGGUCAGAAUAAUGUCAUCAUUGACUAUCGAAUAUCUUGGCGGAUGACCUACAGUAACAAUGUUCAUUGUGAUAAUAAACACAAUUGCAAGGGCGACCCUUGUACCUGGAGAAGGGAAAAUGACAUGCUUUUCUGGUAAUUGCGGAUCCAAAUCCCUUCGGGUCACUCUCAUACACCUGCACAGACUUCAGUAAGACUGAAGAUUGGUCUUCAGGAAAAGGCACUAUUAAUCAUAUCUUUCCUCAAACGUCAUCGAAAGUUUACAAGUUCGGGUUUGAAGGAAGUGCUUGGAUUGGUGAACUGCAUGUUGGUGCAAGUGGAAGGUGGAAGCUGACGGUGGAAGCCAACUUAGAUAUAAGAGAAGACAAAGACAUAAUAAAUUCAUCUCCAACAGCAGAAAUUAUGCCAAUAAUCAGACUACAAUAUGGAUGCAGCCACAUAAUUAAAAUUCCUGUACAAGAUCCAGACAAUGAUGUUGUGAGAUGUCGCGUAGCAAAAGGCGAGGAAGAAUGUGGAGACGUGUGCUCUGGUUUCCCCAACUCACAUUUGGAUAACGACGCAUGUACCAUCUACUAUGAGGCUAAGUAUAAACUCGGUUGGUAUGCUGUUGCGUUGCAAGUGGAAGAUUUUAUGGAUAUUAAUUCAACGACCCCGUUUAGCAGUAUUCCCGUGCAGUUCCUUGUUCAUAUAUACAAUUCCACAGAAUCAUGUAUGAAGACAACCGUUUUUAUAGAACCUACUCCGAAAGAGGAUGCAUGCAUUGGCGUACCUCAUGAUCAAAUUUAUUCUUCAUCAAUAGUUGCUCGGGUUCUAAGCGCUAAUCAAAGCAUUUCGGAAAUCAAAACACUAUCCCCGUUGGGACUUAAUCGGACAGGACCUAAACCAAGUCAAUGAUACGGACUGGAGGAUGAAUUUUACCUUUGCAGCUAGUGAAGCAAGAACAAAUACAACAACGCAGCAAUUUUGUUUCACUGCAAGAGAAACAUCGGGAUCGGAGAGUGAAAAAAGAUGUAUCAAACUUCUGGCUGGAGUUUCUCCGCCACAUUUUGUUAACGGGUCACAGUACCCAUUGGGAACAUUUACAGCAACGAAAGCAACUGGGUCAUCAGAGCAGAUUCCGAUUUUGUUCAAGCAUCUCGGCCUUCCUUUAUUAGUUUGUACAACAGUAAAGGUAUUCUUAUUGAAAGAAUAAACGCUUCUGAUCCAAAAGCAUUGACCCUAGAUACCGGCAGUAAGACGCUGCUCUUCUCAACAUCUACCAGUUUCGAAGAGAAGGAAGAAUAUUACUUCCUGUUUGAUUUCGGGGUAUUGAAAGGAACGACAUACUGUGGUGCAGAAUCUGCAGCUAUUGAUGAUCCCUACUUCUGGAGAGUAAGGAUACGUAUGU
rnacentral:lncRNA from 1 species